AUUGAACGCUGGCGGAAUGCUUUACACAUGCAAGUCGAACGGUAGAGGGGGCAACCCCUCGAGAGUGGCGAACGGGUGAGUAAUAUAUCGGAACGUGCCCAGUCGUGGGGGAUAACGUAGCGAAAGUUACGCUAAUACCGCAUACGAUCUAAGGAUGAAAGCGGGGGAUCGCAAGACCUCGCGCGAUUGGAGCGGCCGAUAUCAGAUUAGGUAUUUGGUGGGGUAAAGGCUCACCAAGCCAACGGUCUGUAGCUGGUCUGAGAGGACGACCAGCCACACUGGAACUGAGACACGGUCCAGACUCCUACGGGAGGCAGCAGUGGGUAAUUUUGGACAAUGGACGCAAGUCUGAUCCAGCCAUUCCGCGUGCAGGAUGAAGGCCCUCGGGUUGUAAACUGCUUUUGUACGGAACGAAAAGGUCUCUCUUAAUACGGGGGACUCAUGACGGUACCGUAAGAAUAAGCACCGGCUAACUACGUGCCAGCCGCCGCAGUAA
rnacentral:rRNA from 1 species